rnacentral:rRNA from 1 species
UACGAAGGGGGCUAGCGUUGUUCGGAAUUACUGGGCGUAAAGCGCGCGCAGGCGGUCUUCCAAGUCAGUGGUGAAAGCCCGGAGCUCAACUCCGGAACUGCCAUUGAAACUGUGAGACUGGAGUACGAGAGAGGUGAGUGGAAUUCCCAGUGUAGAGGUGAAAUUCGUAGAUAUCAGGAGGAACACCGGUGGCGAAAGCGGCUCUCUGGACCACAACUGACGCUGAGGCGCGAAAGCUAGGGGAGCAAACAGG